CUAUCCUGCCCCGGCCACGGUCAAUCCCGUGGCCGGGUUUGACAGCCCGAGUA
rfam:Pseudomonas pseudoalcaligenes KF707 = NBRC 110670 strain KF707 ctg1728, whole genome shotgun sequence.